UUCUAAAAGACACACACAAAAAGAUUUUUAAAUAGAAAACGCAUGGCAAGUUUUGAAAAAUCGUAAUCUAGAUGUAAAAGAAAAAAAUUGCAUUAGCGAUAAAGGUCUCGGGUCCGAGGUUGCAGUUCGAUUGAACGCGACGUAAAGGCGUUAAGAGAAUGCAGCGGUUUCUGGUAGGUGUGUAGAAGGAACGGAACUGACGCGGGCGGCUCGCCAAGGUUGGCGACGAAAUCGCGAUUCCUGGUGAACACGCGCGUGCUGCGUGGCGGGCAAAGUUCAGCCGGCCCAGAGAGCGGGCAAUUGAGCCGUUAAUUAUGCCUUAACGAGCUGUAACUACACGGUGCAAAGUCACACGAAACUGGCGCGGAGGGGUGGGGAGAAGUGAAGAGGCAGAGGGAGGGGUGGAGAAACGAAUAAAUAAAUAACGUGAUCGAGAUAAAGGGAAAUGUUGGCGGUGGGCGGUGUCGCAAAGUCGCGCACCGGUUGACUCCGCGGCAGGAGUCUCGGUAGUCUCUUAGGUAACCAAAUCGCCGAGCCGGAGUCGCACGCGGGAACGCGUGUAUGUACGGGAAGGAAUAUCGCGAGGGACGAGGAGAGCGGGCCGAUUGUCGAUGGACUUUGUACCCAGCUGUAAUGACUCAUCGUUGUGGUUGAAGAAGGAGGAGAGAGCGCGUCCGAGAGAAAGAGAGAGAGAAGGACUUCGUAAACCUCGCCCGAAGCACAACAUGUUUGUCGCGCAACAAGGCCACUAUGACAAAUCAUCACUCUAAGUUUGAUUACGACGAACUUCGAAUGGACUUAAGCGAAAUGUUUUGGUGCAGCGAGAAUGCAAGCUAAAUACCACAAAUACAUCUCCAGAUUGCAUCGGGAUCUGUCACAGAAGAUAAACAAGAUCAUUGACUCUUUCGGAUUCGGAAUUGAGGAGAAAAAUACGAAAAUAACGAAAUAGAUAUAUUUUCAACAAAAAAUUAUCUUUCGAAAUUGAUUUUUAGAUUUUUCAUACAUGGAUUAAUGUAUUUUUCUAAUAUAGAUAUAAUAUACAUUAUGCGCUCCAUCACACUUUAUUUUUACUUUAACUUUCAUAUGGAAAGUAUUCAAGGACACAAAUACAUCCGGAUUGUAUCAUAAUCAACGAAGAAGACAAAUAAGAUUGUUGAAUCUUUCGUAUUAAAACAUAAAACAGCAAAUUAAUAAUUAAGGAAAAAAAAACAAAAA